rnacentral:rRNA from 1 species
GACGAACGCUGGCGGCGUGCCUAAUACAUGCAAGUAGAACGCACAGUUUAUACCGUAGCUUGCUACACCAUAAACUGUGAGUUGCGAACGGGUGAGUAACGCGUAGGUAACCUGCCUGGUAGCGGGGGAUAACUAUUGGAAACGAUAGCUAAUACCGCAUAAUAUUAAUUAUUGCAUGAUAAUUGAUUGAAAGAUGCAAUUGCAUCACUACCAGAUGGACCUGCGUUGUAUUAGCUAGUAGGUGAGGUAACGGCUCACCUAGGCGACGAUACAUAGCCGACCUGGGAGGGUGAUCGGCCACACUGGGACUGAGACACGGCCCAGACUCCUACGGGAGGCAGCAGUAGGGAAUCUUCGGCAAUGGACGAAAGUCUGACCGAGCAACGCCGCGUGAGUGAAGAAGGUUUUCGGAUCGUAAAGCUCGGUUGUAAGAGAAGAACGGGUGUGAGAGUGGAAAGUUCACACUGUGACGGUAUCUUACCAGAAAGGGACGGCUAACUACGUG